rnacentral:rRNA from 1 species
GAUGAACGCUGGCGGCGUGCUUAACACAUGCAAGUCGAACGAAGCUGCUUAAAGGAAGUCUUCGGAUGGAAUUUAGGUAGACUUAGUGGCGGACGGGUGAGUAGCGCGUGGAUAACCUGCCUUAUACAGGGGGAUAACGGAGAGAAAUUUCCGCUAACACCGCAUAAGACCACAGCACCGCAUGGUGCAGGGGUAAAAUAUUUAUAGGUAUAAGAUGGAUCCGCGUCCGAUUAGCUAGUUGGUGAGGUAAAGGCCCACCAAGGCGACGAUCGGUAGCCGGCCUGAGAGGGUGAACGGCCACAUUGGGACUGAGACACGGCCCAAACUCCUACGGGAGGCAGCAGUGGGGAAUAUUGGACAAUGGGGGAAACCCUGAUCCAGCGACGCCGCGUGAGUGAAGAAGUAUUUCGGUAUGUAAAGCUCUAUCAGCAGGGAAGAAAAUGACGGUACCUGACUAAGAAGCCCCGGCUAACUACGUGCCAGCAGCCGCGGUAAUACGUAGGGGGCAAGCGUUAUCCGGAUUUACUGGGUGUAAAGGGAGCGCAGACGGCAAUGCAAGUCUGAAGUGAAAGGCGUGGGCUCAACCCAUGAACUGCUUUGGAAACUGCAUAGCUUGAGUGUCGGAGGGGUAAGCGGAAUUCCUAGUGUAGCGGUGAAAUGCGUAGAUAUUAGGAGGAACACCCGGAAGGCGAAGGCGGCUUACUGGACGACAACUGACGUUGAGGCUCGAAGGCGUGGGGAAGCAAACAGGAUUAAUACCCUUGUAGUCCAGGGGAGAAUUCCACAGGGAAAUGAGCUUAUCGUACCGUCGACCUCGGGGGGUUUUUUUAUUCUUUCUUUUGUUCCUUUUAUGAAGGUUCAUUAGCGCGAGGAGCUAGUA